ensembl:lncRNA
GUAAAACCUCUCUGGGUGUGUUUUGGGGGGCAUGCCUUGGAAAGACAUUAGCAUUUGAAUGGGCAGACUAAGUAAAGAUGAUGGCCCCCACCAGUGCAGGUGGUCACCACCCAACUUGCUGGGGACCUAAACAGAACAAAAAGGCUGAGAAAGAGUGAAUUUGCUCUCUCUACUGAGCUGAGACACCUGUCUUCUCUGACUUUGGACACUGGUGCUCCUGGUUUGUGGGCUGUCAGACUUAGACCAGACUUACACUCUUGGGCCCUGAUUCUCAGGCCUUCAGACUCGGGGUUGAAUUACACCACAUGCUUUCCUGCUUGUCCAGCCUGGAGAUGGCAGAUGGGAGAAGAUUUCAUUGCAGGAAUAAACAGAAGAGAUUCAAAGGCUGCUUGGUCAACAGAAAAGAGGCCGAGUUUACCAUAAGGAUGCCUGGCGCUA